AUCCCUUCGACCCUCAAUUUUUGCCGGAAAAUGUCGUCAUCUAAAACCCUAAUUGAGGUCGGAGUUUCGUUGACGUCGCGUUACAUAAAUCCGAUUCUUCAGAAACCAGCAUAUCAGUUCGCUUCCCAAAGCUUUGAGAUCGAUCCGAAGGUUUCCACCCCACCGCCGGCGUUCUUAUCUCUCCUUAAGUUCGAAAGUCAGUGAUUUUGGCUCAAAUGGACACUGAAACAAUGGCCGGAGUAUCGUUGGAAGCGUUCUUGUAUCCAUGUGGAGUUCCUUCUCUACGGCUCUUCCUCCCUGACGGAGAGGACUCAUCAUCAAGUAAACCGUUGUGCAUCAAGAGAACCUACCAGCCUAGCACCCUCAGGCGCAAGAGGGUUCAUGGAUACUUGGCUCGUUAAGCAACCAAGGGAGAUAGGGGAGUCAUUUCACGAAAGAUCACCAAGGGCCGGUUCAAAAUCACAACUUAACAAAAUUAACCUUUUUUCCAUGUUCAACUACUUUAUGUCAUCUAUAGAAGUUUAAAGGUCAGAUAGGAUAUACCGGGUUGGUGGGUUUGUUUGGUUUGGUUUAGA